AAAUUACUUUCCUCUCACAUUCUCUCUCUCUCUCUCUCUCUCGGGAAGAGGGUAGAGGGGAGCAUCUUUGUUUUGCAAUUUCCUUUCUGAACAACAGAUUUAUGUUGCCAAAUGCAAUAGAAAACAAACUCGUAACAGUCGGAUAGAUGAGUUGGAGCAGAGCAUCAAUGAUUUGAGGGCCGAGAUGGGGCAAGAGGGGACUCCUUCUCCUUCCACUUCUCUGAAGCCAAAAGAAGACCCCAAGGCAGCUGAUGAUUCGGCAUAAGAUUUUUCACAGCAUGCUGUGUUGGUUUCACUAGGUAUGUUUGUCCUGGAAAAUUCGUUUGCUUGCGACUUUUGAAGUAUUUGAACUGAAAACCAUUGUUCUACUUUGAGAUCAA